rnacentral:siRNA from 1 species
GCAAGGAAUCCACGAGAUGGU